GACGAACGCUGGCGGCGUGCUUAACACAUGCAAGUCGAACGGAAAGGCCCUGCUUUUGUGGGGUGCUCGAGUGGCGAACGGGUGAGUAACACGUGAGUAACCUGCCCUUGACUUUGGGAUAACUUCAGGAAACUGGGGCUAAUACCGGAUAGGAGCUCCUGCUGCAUGGUGGGGGUUGGAAAGUUUCGGCGGUUGGGGAUGGACUCGCGGCUUAUCAGCUUGUUGGUGGGGUAGUGGCUUACCAAGGCUUUGACGGGUAGCCGGCCUGAGAGGGUGACCGGCCACAUUGGGACUGAGAGACGGCCCAGACUCCUACGGGAGGCAGCAGUGGGGAAUAUUGCACAAUGGGCGGAAGCCUGAUGCAGAAACGCCGCGUGCGGGAUGACGGCCUUCGGGUUGUAAACCGCUUUCGCCUGUGACGAAGCGUGAGUGACGGUAAUGGGUAAAGAAGCACCGGCUAACUACGU
rnacentral:rRNA from 1 species